UACGUAGGUGGCAAGCGUUGUCCGGAUUUAUUGGGCGUAAAGGGCGCGUAGGCGCCUGGCGCGUCGGCUGUGAAAUCUCCCGGCUCAACUGGGAGGGACGGCCGAUACGGCUGGGCUUGAGCGAGGUAGGGGAGAGUGGAAUUCCCGGUGUAGUGGUGGAAUGCGCAGAUAUCGGGAGAACACCCGUGGCUAAGGCGGCUCUCUAGUACGGUACUGACGCUGAGACGGCGAAAGCGUGGGGAGCGAACAGG
rnacentral:rRNA from 1 species